rnacentral:rRNA from 1 species
GAUGAACGCUGGCGGCGUGCCUAAUACAUGCAAGUCGAACGAAACUUCUUUAUCACCGAGUGCUUGCACUCACCGAUAAAGAGUUGAGUGGCGAACGGGUGAGUAACACGUGGGCAACCUGCCCAAAAGAGGGGGAUAACACUUGGAAACAGGUGCUAAUACCGCAUAACCAUAGUUACCGCAUGGUAACUAUGUAAAAGGUGGCUAUACUACCGCUUUUGGAUGGGCCCGCGGCGCAUUAGCUAGUUGGUAGGGUAAAGGCUUACCAAGGCAAUGAUGCGUAGCCGAAUUGAGAGGUUGAUCGGCCACAUUGGGACUGAGACAAGGCCCAAACUCCUACGGGAGGCAGCAGUAGGGAAUCUUCCACAAUGGGCGAAAGCCUGAUGGAGCAACGCAGCGUGGGUGAAGAAGGUCUUCGGAUCGUAAAACCCUGUUGUUAGAGAAGAAAGUGCGUGAGAGUAACUGUUCACGUUUCGACGGUAUCUAACCAGAAAGCCACGGCUAACUACGUG